GACGAACGCUGGCGGCGCGCUUAACACAUGCAAGUCGAGCGAGAACCCUCCUUCGGGAGGGGGAAAGCGGCGAACGGGUGAGUAACACGUGGGUAAUCCACCCUCGGCACCGGGAUAGCCCGGGGAAACCCGGAUUAAUACCGGAUGGCCCAGCAGCUCUUCGGGGCGGUUGGAAAAGGUAGCUUUGGCCUCCGGCCGAGGACGAGCCCGCGGCGGAUUAGCUUGUUGGUGGGGUAACGGCCCACCAAGGCGACGAUCCGUAGCUGGUCNGAGAGGACGAUCAGCCACACUGGGACUGAGACACGGCCCAGACUCCUACGGGAGGCAGCAGUGGGGAAUCUUGCGCAAUGGGCGAAAGCCUGACGCAGCGACGCCGCGUGAGGGAAGAAGGCUUUCGGGUUGUAAACCUCUUUCAGGAGGGACGAAGCCACUCGGGUUAAUAGCCCAGAGGGUGACGGUACCUCCAGAAGAAGCCCCGGCUAACUACGUGCCAGCAGCCGCCGUAAU
rnacentral:rRNA from 1 species